CUCCCAUCAGCCUUCAUCCAGAUAAUAUAAAGUGUUGCAACCAGAAAUCAGAAGUAAAGGUGUGCUUUUGGUUAUAUAAAUUACUCUGGUUACAGUGGUUACCAUGAUUGGGGUAAGUCCCUACGAGUUCCAAAGUACUUAAAGCAAGACACAAAGUUUUCAUCCAGAGUAAAAUAAAGGAAUGUUGUAGGAGAAAUAAAAAGGCAUUUUGAAAGGUUUUUUUUGUUUUGUUUAAAAAAAAUAGUAUAAUGCAUCUUGACGAACAUUUCUUUUUGCAGAGAUCUGAUUCACGUCUCUUUUUUCUGUGAACUCAAGAAUUGGCUGAAAUGUCUUGCAUUCAUAAACUUUCAUAAAUUUGCAUAAGAGAACUGGAGAGCAUACAGUCCUAUACGACAUCACACGCUUUCUUACAGAGAUGAACAUGACCAAGUGGUUUUUAAGCUAAUUUCUGGGAGAAGACAACAAACAAUGGAACGGUCACGAUGAUCCAGGGGGCUCCAUCAGUUUGGAUUUUCUGUUAUAGAAUAAAUUGGAACACUGGUUGCCUAGAGGGAGAAAGCAGUAGAAAUUCACUGAAGCCUCAAUAACAAAAAUAAUAUUUUUUCCAGUUUGUUGAGUAUAUUGAGAAGCUGGGCAAAAACCAUGUUUAUAUAACGCCUAUUCUUGAUGGAUCAUCAGAGGUAUAGAAAUAUGAGAAUUAUUUACGGGCUUCAAAGAUUAUUCCCGUAGAAUAUUAAAGAACACACUAUGACUUGUGGGGUAAUGUGGCUAGUUCCAUGGUUAUCCAAGGGGCAGAUGGGGAUGUUUAAUGACACAUAAAAAAAGCAAAAAACUAAAUAUUUUUAAAGAUUUUUUGUAUUUAAG